CCUACGGGAGGCAGCAGUAGGGAAUCUUUCGCAAUGGGCGAAAGCCUGAUGGAGCAACGCCGCGUGCAUGAUGAAGGCCUUCGGGUUGUAAACUUCUUUUAUAAGCGAGGAAUAUGAUGGUGACUUCUGAGUAAUGAUCGGCUCCCUCCGUGCCAGCAGCAGCGGUCGUACGUAGGAUACGGGCAUUAUCCGGAGUGACUGGGUGUAGAGAGUUGCGUAGGUGGCAUAAUAAGUAGCUAGUGAAAUCUGGUGGCUCAACCAUUCAGACUAUUAGCUAAACUGUUAAGCUUGAGACCGUUAGGGGUAACUGGAAUUUCUAGUGUAGGAGUGAAAUGCGUAGAUAUUAGAAGGAACACCAAUAGCGUAGGCAGGUUGCUGGGACGGUUCUGACACUAAGGCACGAAAGCGUAGGGAGCAAACGGGAUUAGAUACCCCAGUAGUC
rnacentral:rRNA from 1 species